GGGGGUAUUCCAGAAAGCUUGGUUAACUUACCAUUUGCUAAACUAUAACCUCUGGGUUGAUUUACCCCAAACAGGCAUACCAUGAGUAUGUCGGUUCCAAAACACCUGAGAAGAGUUAGUUUAAUCAACCUCUGACUGGUUACCCAGAGUUAAUGCGCAUGCACGGUGCAUGUAUAAAGACAUUUUCAAUGGAUCUCAGAUUUCACGAGUCACCAUGGAAACUCAAAGCGAAAAAAAGAGAGCGGCGUAUUUCACAGAGGCGGAGUUGGAAGUUUUAAUGCAUGCUUAUGAGGAGUUUAAGCCAAUAAUAUUAAAAAGAAGCAAUACAGCUGCAUCGGCUAAAGCAAGAGAGCUGGCUUGGCAAAAAAUAACGGACAGAGUAAAUGCGUGUAAUCCUUCUGGAGCCACAAUAACUUUAAGCCAAGUCAAAAUGAAACACAAAAACAUUCUGCAAAAAGCUAACAGAAAGAAGACUGAAGCCUGUCUAACUGGCGGGGAGGCCACCACCACCUCCCCUCACCCCAUCUGAGGAGCUGGCUCUGUCCCUUAAUAAAGGGCGACCAGUGGUUGCUGGCAUUCCAGGGGGCAGUUCAUCACACAUACUAUGCACCACAAGUGAUGGUGAAAAAAGGGUGACAUAUACUGAUGGACGGAUUGUAUUAUUAGACUCUCCAGAAAGAACACAGUCUGUCACAGUUGAUGAAGAUGAUGAUGACGAUGAAGAGACCACAUCUGCUGUGACAGAAGUGGACAAUGCUGGUAGAUCCCCUGAGUACAUACCUAGGGAUUUGCCCAGUGAUGAGGGUCCUUCAGCCUCAGCACACAAUCUAAGCAGG